GACGAACGCUGGCGGCGUGCUUAACACAUGCAAGUCGAACGAAGUGGCGAACGGGUGAGUAACGCGUAAUCAACCUGCCCUUCAGAGGGGGACAACAGUUGGAAACGACUGCUAAUACCGCAUACUGAAGGAGGGGAUUGCGUCUGAUUAGCUAGUUGGGGGGGUAACGGCCCACCAAGGCGAUGAUCAGUAGGCGGUCCGGGGGGGUGGACGGGCACAAUGGGACUGAGGCACGGGCCCGACUCCUUCGGGAGGCAGCAGUGGGGAAUCUUCCGGAAUGGACGAAAGUCUGGCGGAGCAACGCCGCGUGAGUGAUGACGGCCUUCGGGUUGGAAAGCUCUGUUAAUCGGGGCGCGGUACCGGAAUAGAAAGCCACGGCUAACUACGUGCCAGCAGCCGCGGUAAUAC
rnacentral:rRNA from 1 species